UACGUAGGGUGCAAGCGUUGUCCGGAAUUAUUGGGCGUAAAGAGCUCGUAGGCGGUCUGUCGCGUCGGCUGUGAAAACUCGGGGCUCAACCCCGAGCCUGCAGUCGAUACGGGCAGACUAGAGUGCGGUAGGGGAGACUGGAAUUCCUGGUGUAGCGGUGAAAUGCGCAGAUAUCAGGAGGAACACCGGUGGCGAAGGCGACUUACUGGAUUCAUACUGACGCUGAGGCGCGAAAGCAUGGGGAGCAAACAGG
rnacentral:rRNA from 1 species